ensembl:lncRNA
GGUGACACAACACUGCUGUACCUUCUCUGUGAAUGUGUGUGUUUGUUUCCUGACUUGGAAGCAAAGAGUUUGUUACACAUUGCCCUAGGAGAUGCCUGGGGAAAGGGGCCCAUGUUCCAUAGAAUUGGCCCUGCUUCUGAAGUGUCUGAAAAUCAUUCGUUUUAAUGAAGAUUUGAGGCUUCCGUCAGCAAGAACAGAGCUCAACAUUAUCCAAAUGAGCAGUGACAUGAUGUGUCAACUACCAUUGAGAGUACAGGUAUGCCUCCUGAUAGCGUGGCAGACUAGAAACCAAGUGUACUUGGUGACCGUAAGCAUUUAAAAUUCCCGACAGUGUGUUUAAAAUAAAAUAAUGGAAUCAUUUUAUUCAUUCAAAAAUAACAUAAGUCAUUUUUCAAAAGUAAGUAGACAUAUUUACAACUUUAUUAAAUUAAUGCUUAACAUUAGAUUAAUCCAUUAUUUCAAAAUAAUAAAUAAAUAGAUAUUUAAUUACUGCUUUUCUUUGUUGCCAAGUCCUGCUUAAUUGUUUAUUAUUAUUAUUAUUAUUAUUAUUAUUAUUAUUUUUGAAUUCAUAAAUUGAUAAGUUGAUAUAACUGCAUUUAAUUAAGUGCAGCCUUGACUCCAGCUGAAUCCAGAAAAAUAUGAAAUGUUGCUGAGUUAACGACUCAAUACUCUAAACAUAACAAAUAAACAGCAUACACAAAAAUCUGGUAAAAUAGUCAUUUUUAAUAUGUGUUAAUAUGUAUUAUAUAUUAUAUAUGAUAUACUCAUCUGCCAAUUUGAUGACUUUUUACACUGAUCGUGUCACAUUGCAUUGUGGGAUUGUCUUUUCCACAAACGAUACAUACAUUGCUUUAGCAUUUGGAUAAAAUAAGGCAUCUUUGAAGGUGGCAUAAUAACUUUUAGGAAGCGUGCUUAUGAUGCAUUAAAAUGCAAUCUCGGUAGAUCACUCACUAGGCUGGAACAGAGAUUUUUUUUUUUUUUUUUUUUUUGACUCUACAGCUUAAUGUGUAGUUUAUAGAGUACCUAGAGUCACUGCUGGGUUUUCUGGGCCGCUUUAAACCUAGAAAUCAGUGGAGCCCUUGCGAUGCCUCUGAACAUGACAGUAUGAUAUAGACAUUUUUUGUGAAUCUGAAGUCUCAAUAAAGAAAAAGACCCUUCCAUUUGAAGAAAGGCAAAGGGUCAGCAGCUUUACCUGUAGUGCACAGCCUGGCAAACCAAACGUUUUGGAGGAGUUUAACCUGCCUUGAAGCUUUGUAUUGCAUAACCUUCACUUUACUUGUCUGAUAGAGGGCUUUGGACAUAUUCAGCUGUCAGAAAUCACACGCAACUGGAAAGUGUCAGCUGGAGAGGAGGGAAGAGAGAGAGGGCCCACCUGACAGAGCUGAAGCUAUUUGAAGUUUUGCCUGUGUUACUGGCAGACAGAUCAAAGUAUUGAAAGACAGGAGGACGCCUGUAGGAGAAAAAUGGAGAGAGAGACACACAAAAUGACAGAGCAAAGAGAAGGUUUAAGUCAUUCACUUGUGUGAGUUUGUUUCUUUAUUUUCUGCAGUAUGAAUAAAUAUUUUGGAGUGAGACGUGACCGUGGUGGCACACUGUUGGGUGCAAAUAAAUAUUUGGUAGUAUCAAACUUAUUUGCACUUUCUUUCUCGUUCUCUCUUUUUCUUUCUCACUCCUCUCACGUCCUUCUGACUCUUGUUUUAUUAGCAGAUAGUCAAUGAUCUGUUAUGUUGCAUUUCCCCCCUUAUUUAUUUAUUUAGUUUUGACAUUUGUAGUGGUGACACAUUAAUUAGUGUGCUGACAGCAUGCUGUGCAGUGCACAAUGAAGAAGCUGUGCUUUAAAUGUAUCCUUUUAAACAGCCUUUGUUAGAGCCAUACACAUGCAGACAGAUGAAUUUGGCCAUUGUGUUGAGACUUGAGACUUGUUUUGGUAUUGAUACUUAUUUCCAGAUUCGAUUGGUUUCACAAGCUCUUGAUUCAAUUUCAGUUUUGA